rnacentral:rRNA from 1 species
UUGGAGGGCAAGUCUGGUGCCAGCAGCCGCGGUAAUUCCAGCUCCAAUAGCGUAUAUUAAAGUUGUUGCAGUUAAAAAGCUCGUAGUUGAAUUUCGGGAUCAGUAGGUCGGUCGUGCCACUGGUAUGCACUGGUCUCACUGGUUCCUCCUUCCUGAUGAACCGUAAUGCCAUUAAUUUGGUGUUGCGGGGAAACUGGACUGUUACUUUGAAAAAAUUAGAGUGUUUAAAGCAGGCUAACGCUUGAAUACAUUAGCAUGGAAUAAUGAAAUAGGACGAUCGAUCCUAUUUUGUUGGUUUCUAGGAUUGACGUAAUGAUUAAUAGGGAUAGUUAGGGGCAUUAGUAUUCAAUUGUCAGAGGUGAAAUUCUUGGAUUUAUUGAAGACUAACUACUGCGAAAGCAUUUGCCAAGGAUGUUUUCAUUAAUCAAGAACGAAAGUUAGGGGAUCGAAGACGAUCAGAUACCGUCGUAGUCUUAACCAUAAACUAUGCCGACUAGGGAUCGGAUGAUGUUAUUUUAU